rnacentral:rRNA from 1 species
CACUUUAGGUGUGGAGAAAGGCCAUUACGUGAAUAGCGUAGUGGAUUGAUAGUACACACAGAAUAAGCACCGGCUAACUCUGUGC